rnacentral:rRNA from 1 species
GAUGAACGCUGGCGGCGUGCCUAAUACAUGCAAGUCGAGCGAACGGACGAGAAGCUUGCUUCUCUGAUGUUAGCGGCGGACGGGUGAGUAACACGUGGAUAACCUACCUAUAAGACUGGGAUAACUUCGGGAAACCGGAGCUAAUACCGGAUAAUAUUUUGAACCGCAUGGUUCAAAAGUGAAAGACGGUCUUGCUGUCACUUAUAGAUGGAUCCGCGCUGCAUUAGCUAGUUGGUAAGGUAACGGCUUACCAAGGCAACGAUGCAUAGCCGACCUGAGAGGGUGAUCGGCCACACUGGAACUGAGACACGGUCCAGACUCCUACGGGAGGCAGCAGUAGGGAAUCUUCCGCAAUGGGCGAAAGCCUGACGGAGCAACGCCGCGUGAGUGAUGAAGGUCUUCGGAUCGUAAAACUCUGUUAUUAGGGAAGAACAUAUGUGUAAGUAACUGUGCACAUCUUGACGGUACCUAAUCAGAAAGCCACGGCUAACUACGUGCCAGCAGCCGCGGUAAUACGUAGGUGGCAAGCGUUAUCCGGAAUUAUUGGGCGUAAAGCGCGCGUAGGCGGUUUUUUAAGUCUGAUGUGAAAGCCCACGGCUCAACCGUGGAGGGUCAUUGGAAACUGGAAAACUUGAGUGCAGAAGAGGAAAGUGGAAUUCCAUGUGUAGCGGUGAAAUGCGCAGAGAUAUGGAGGAACACCAGUGGCGAAGGCGACUUUCUGGUCUGUAACUGACGCUGAUGUGCGAAAGCGUGGGGAUCAAACAGGAUUAGAUACCCUGGUAGUCCACGCCGUAAACGAUGAGUGCUAAGUGUUAGGGGGUUUCCGCCCCUUAGUGCUGCAGCUAACGCAUUAAGCACUCCGCCUGGGGAGUACGACCGCAAGGUUGAAACUCAAAGGAAUUGACGGGGACCCGCACAAGCGGUGGAGCAUGUGGUUUAAUUCGAAGCAACGCGAAGAACCUUACCAAAUCUUGACAUCCUUUGACAACUCUAGAGAUAGAGCUUUCCCCUUCGGGGGACAAAGUGACAGGUGGUGCAUGGUUGUCGUCAGCUCGUGUCGUGAGAUGUUGGGUUAAGUCCCGCAACGAGCGCAACCCUUAAGCUUAGUUGCCAUCAUUAAGUUGGGCACUCUAAGUUGACUGCCGGUGACAAACCGGAGGAAGGUGGGGAUGACGUCAAAUCAUCAUGCCCCUUAUGAUUUGGGCCACACACGUGCUACAAUGGACAAUACAAAGGGCAGCGAAACCGCGAGGUCAAGCAAAUCCCAUAAAGUUGUUCUCAGUUCGGAUUGUAGUCUGCAACCCGACUACAUGAAGCUGGAAUCGCUAGUAAUCGUAGAUCAGCAUGCUACGGUGAAUACGUUCCCGGGUCU